UAACCUUGCGGCCGUACUCCCCAGGCGGUCUACUUAAUGCGUUAGCUUGAGAGCCCAGUGUUCAAGACACCAAACUCCGAGUAGACAUCGUUUACGGCGUGGACUACCAGGGUAUCUAAUCCUGUUUGCUCCCCACGCUUUCGUGCCUGAGCGUCAGUCUUUGUCCAGGGGGCCGCCUUCGCCACCGGUAUUCCUCCAGAUCUCUACGCAUUUCACCGCUACACCUGGAAUUCUACCCCCCUCUACAAGACUCUAGUUCGCCAGUUCGAAAUGCAAUUCCCAGGUUGAGCCCGGGGCUUUCACAUCUCGCUUAACAAACCGCCUGCGCACGCUUUACGCCCAGUAAUUCCGAUUAACGCUCGGACCCUCCGUAUUACCGCGGCUGCUGGCACGGAGUUAGCCGGUCCUUCUUCUGUAGGUAACGUCACAGCAACAGCGUAUUAAGCUGCUACCUUUCCUCCCUACUGAAAGUGCUUUACAACCCGAAGGCCUUCUUCACACACGCGGCAUGGCUGCACCAGGGUUUCCCCCAUUGUGCAAUAUUCCCCA
rnacentral:rRNA from 1 species